GCAAGUCGGCCAUCAGGCUCAGCCUCCCAUGAAGCGCUCCUGACUUCCCACCCUUCCUCCAGGCCAGGAGUCUGCCAAUCACAAUCUGGGUUCUGUUUUCCCGCCUUUCCUGGCAGCACAAACCACGGCUCCGGAUGGUGAGCAAUGCAAGUUCCAGGCAUGCCUUGCUGCAUUACUGGGUUCCCAGGUGUCACUUCAUCCAGAGGGGAGGAGGCCUCGCCACCAUGCCCAGAGCAGCACAGUGAGUCAGAGAUGAAGCUCUUGUCCCACCUGCCCCAACCCUCGAGCCCUGCUUCCCAGGUCCGCAUUCCCAGGCAGCCUGCCACAGCCAGUGCCAGCGAGAGAGUGGAUCAGGCUUCAGGAUAGCCCAGCACUGAGGACAUCUAAAACAGUCUUCAUUUAUUUAUUUAUUGUUCAUAGUGUCCAAAAGUUGGAAUUAAAGUGAAUGGCUGAA
rnacentral:lncRNA from 1 species